UACGGUUAUAUCACGUUGAAACACCUGUUCCAGUACCCUCACCGAAGUUAAGCACCAUUAAGCUUGUUCUGUACUUAGAUGGGUGACACCUUGGGAAUGC